UUCAAUAAGAUAUUAGAAUGAAGUUAAAAUACAGUUAAAAAAUCCAAUCUGCAACGAAAAAUAAUAAAUUAAUCAUUCAAAAAGUAAGGAUGUCUGAAGGAAAAACGGGUAAAAUCAAUGCUGUAAAGGAGGCUGUAACAUCGGUUGUUGGUCGAUUUAUUGUCUCCAACAUCGCAAAAACUAAAGAAAACAAAGCUCUGAAG